rnacentral:rRNA from 1 species
GAUGAACGCUGACAGAAUGCUUAACACAUGCAAGUCUACUUGAAUUUGGGUUUUUUAACUUAGAUUUGGGUGGCGGACGGGUGAGUAACGCGUAAAGAACUUGCCUCACAGCUAGGGACAACAUUUGGAAACGAAUGCUAAUACCUGAUAUUAUGAUUAUAAGGCAUCUUAGAAUUAUGAAAGCUAUAUGCGCUGUGAGAGAGCUUUGCGUCCCAUUAGCUAGUUGGAGAGGUAACGGCUCACCAAGGCGAUGAUGGGUAGCCGGCCUGAGAGGGUGAACGGCCACAAGGGGACUGGGACACGGCCCUUACUCCUACGGGAGGCAGCAGUGGGGAAUAUUGGACAAUGGACCAAGAGUCUGAUCCAGCAAUUCUGUGUGCACGAUGACGUUUUUCGGAAUGUAAAGUGCUUUCAGUUGGGAAGAAAAAAAUGACGGUACCAACAGAAGAAGUGACGGCUAAAUACGUG